UGGGGAAUAUUGGACAAUGGGCGCAAGCCUGAUCCAGCCGUGCCGCGUGUGUGAAGAAGGCCUUCGGGUUGUAAAGCACUUUCAGUAGGGAGGAAGCGUUGUGUGUUAAUAGUACACAGCGUUGACGUUACCUACAGAAGAAGCACCGGCUAACUCUGUGCCAGCAGCCGCGGUAAUACAGAGGGUGCAAGCGUUAAUCGGAAUUACUGGGCGUAAAGCGCACGUAGGCGGUUUUUUAAGUCAGAUGUGAAAGCCCCGGGCUCAACCUGGGAAUUGCAUUUGAAACUGGAAAACUAGAGUGUGUGAGAGGGGGGUAGAAUUCCAAGUGUAGCGGUGAAAUGCGUAGAGAUUUGGAGGAAUACCAGUGGCGAAGGCGGCCCCCUGGCACAACACUGACGCUCAGGUGCGAAAGCGUGGGGAGCAAACAGGAUUAGAUACCCUGGUAGUCCACGCCGUAAACGAUGUCUACUAGCUGUUCGUGACCUUGUGUCGUGAGUAGCGCAGCUAACGCAUUAAGUAGACCGCCUGGGGAGUACGGUCGCAAGAUUA
rnacentral:rRNA from 1 species